CACUAAAAAAUAUGUAAGUCGCUUUGGAUAAAAGCGUCUGCUAAAUGCAAUGUA
rfam:Larimichthys crocea isolate SSNF unplaced genomic scaffold scaffold253, whole genome shotgun sequence.